GCGCGUCUUAGAGGGGAGAAGCAAAUUUCCCACGCUCCCCUCAAGGAAGCACUGGAUCCAGACGUGGAAUUCCGCCCUGCCCAGGGCCUCCUCCACACCAGGUGAUUCCAGGAUGCCUGAAAGCAAAGUCCUUCCAAAGGCAGCCCGGGGUCACUGUGUGAAGCCACCAUUUUUAGCAUCCUGGCUGCUGCCGGGCCACAGAGGCACCAGCCAGCUUUAGACUCCUGGAAAAGCAAGGAAUUCAAUCCCUCUUCCACUCAAAUGUGGGCUCCCAAUGUUCUCUGCAAAGACUGAAGUGCUGCCAUAAUUUAUAAGCUGGAAAGAAGAGGUGCAUUGUAUCGAUUUUAGGAGUGUGCUGAGUCUUUUUAAGCUCAUGCAUAAUGAAUGUUCUUUGACUUUUUUUCCAAACAAACUUUCAAGUGGAGCUGUUGUGACGAUGGCUGAAUGUAGUAUGAAAUGCACGCCAUGAAAUGGAACAGAGACAAUGGCUGAUGUGAAGAGGGAGUGAGAUUCCUGCCCUAUUACGAACUGGAGGAGCUUCCCACCACAGCCCAGGGGAAAGCCUUUGGCCGGCUAAAGACCACAGCACGUGUCGGACCUCCUCCUAUGGGCUCAGGGCCCCUCUCCGUGCUGCCUCUCCACCGGCAGCUUUGUCCAGGCAAGGAAGCCUGAUACAGGCACACCCCCGAACUGGGGCUGAGCCCGGGAGGAUUCUUGGCUUCCUGCAGGAAAGAAUUCAAGAGCAAGUCAACGGAGUAAAGUGAAAGCAAAGCAAGUUUAUUAGAACAAAAGAGAACAAGAAAACGGCUGCUGCACAGACACGUCAGGGUUACCCACAGGCAGGGUGGCAUGCGUGGAUUCCCGGCUGGCUACGGUUAUACCUAGUCCUAAUUCUGUGCUAAAUAAGGGGUGGGUUAUUCAUGAACUUUCUAGAAAAGGGGUGGGGAGUUCCCAGAACCACGUGAGGUAGGUUCCAGGGCAUUGGCAAACUGUCAUGGCGCUGGGGGGAGUGUCUUAGGCAAAUGUAUUAUAAUUCCUGGUCCCAGCUGGUGUUGGCUGGUUUCUUUGCUACAUCCCGUUUUGAUCAGCAGGGUCCUGAAAAUGAGUCCUGCUGAUCUCCAGCCUUAAGCCUGCAUCUAAACACCAGGGGUGAUGUGCAGACCUUCAGUGUACACACAAAACUCCACUCACGGGAGAUGUUGGGCUGUAUGGCUAUGCUCAACUUAAAAUGUUUAAAAACAGGCCGGGCGCGGUGGCUCACGCCUGUAAUCCCA
rnacentral:lncRNA from 1 species